rnacentral:rRNA from 1 species
CCUACGGGGCGCAGCAGUGGGGAAUAUUGCACAAUGGGCGCAAGCCUGAUGCAGACAUGCCGCGUGUAUGAAGAAGGCCUUCGGGUUGUAAAGUACUUUCAGCGGGGAGGAAGGCGAUAAGGUUAAUAACCUUGUCGAUUGACGUUACUCGCAGAAGAAGCACCGGCUAACUCCGUGCCAGCAGCCGCGGUAGUACGGAGGGUGCAAGCGUUAAUCGGAAUUACUGGGCGUAAAGCGCACGCAGGCGGUCUGUCAAGUCGGAUGUGAAAUCCCCGGGCUCAACCUGGGAACUGCAUUCGGAACUGGCAGGCUAGAGUCUUGUAGAGGGGGGUAGAAUUCCAGGUGUAGCGGUGAAAUGCGUAGAGAUCUGGAGGAAUACCGGUGGCGAAGGCGGCCCCCUGGACAAAGACUGACGCUCAGGUGCGAAAGCGUGGGGAGCAAACAGGAUUAGAUACCCUUGUAGUC